AUUGAACGCUGGCGGCAGGCCUAACACAUGCAAGUCGAACGGUAACAGGAAGAAGCUUGCUUCUUUGCUGACGAGUGGCGGACGGGUGAGUAAUGUGUGGGAAACUGCCUGAUGGAGGGGGAUAACUACUGGAAACGGUAGCUAAUACCGCAUAACGUCGCAAGACCAAAGAGGGGGACCUACUGGCCGCUUGCCAUCGGAUGUGCCCAGAUGGGAAUAGCUAGUAGGUGGGGUAACGUCUCACCUAGGUGACGAUCCCUAGCUGGUCUGAGAGGAUGACCAGCCACCCUGGAACUGAGCCAGCGUCCAUGCUCCUACGGGAGGCCGCAGUGGGGAAUAUUGCACAAUGGGCGCGAGCCUGAUGCAGCCAUGCCGCGUGUAUGAAGACGGCCUUCGGGUUGUAAAGUACUUUCAGCGGGGAGGAAGGGAGUAAGGUUAAUACCUUUGCUCAUUGACGUUACCCGCAGAAGAAGCACCGGCUAACUCCGUG
rnacentral:rRNA from 1 species